rnacentral:rRNA from 1 species
GAUGAACGCUGGCGGCGUGCUUAACACAUGCAAGUCGAACGGUGAACGAGGGAGCUUGCUCCCUCCGGAUCAGUGGCGAACGGGUGAGUAACACGUGAGCAAUCUGCCCUGGACUCUGGGAUAAGCGUUGGAAACGACGUCUAAUACCGGAUACGAGGCGUGGGGGCAUCCCCAACGCCUGGAAAGAACUUCGGUCCAGGAUGAGCUCGCGGCCUAUCAGCUAGUUGGUGAGGUAACGGCUACCCAAGGCGACGACGGGUAGCCGGCCUGAGAGGGUGACCGGCCACACUGGGACUGAGACACGGCCCAGACUCCUACGGGAGGCAGCAGUGGGGAAUAUUGCACAAUGGGCGCAAGCCUGAUGCAGCAACGCCGCGUGAGGGACGACGGCCUUCGGGUUGUAAACCUCUUUUAGCAGGGAAGAAGCGAAAGUGACGGUACCUGCAGAAAAAGCACCGGCUAACUACGUGCCAGCCGCCGCAGUAACAC